rnacentral:rRNA from 1 species
AGCCCGGCCGCCGAAGGCGCCCGUAUAGUUCGGAUCCGCAAGGACCGGGCCAGCGGGACGUCCGCGUGGCAGUGGUGCACUUUCUCCGCGGUCGAGUGCUACGACCGGUUUCGCGGCGGUCAGAAGCCCGGCGGAAAGGUAGCGCCGCCCCUCGGGGUGUCGUGUUAUAGGCCGCCGCGGUGGACUCGCCGCGAGACCGAGGACGCUUGCCGCGCCGAGCGGUCCCGGGCCGUCUUGGGAGGUUCGACCUCGGCUGCACUGCUCCGCAGAGCACCGUAACCGCCGCCCUAGCACGGGUCCGGAGACUGCCGGCGCCUCGGGUCAGUAGCG